CCUACGGGUGGCAGCAGUGAGGAAUAUUGGACAAUGGACGAGAGUCUGAACCAGCCACGUAGCGUGAAGGAUGACUGCCCUAUGUGUUGUAAACUUCUUUUACAAAGGAAUAAAACGAGGCACGUGUGCCUGUUUGCAUGUACUUUAUGAAUCAGGCUCGGCUAACUACAUGCCAGCAGCAGCGGUAAUACGGAGGGUCUGAGCGUUAUCCGGAUUUAUUGGGUUUAAAGGGACCGUAGAUGGGUUGUUAAAUCAGUUGUGAAAGUGUGCGGCUCAACCGUAAAAUUGCAAUUGAUACUGGCAGGCUUGAGUACAGGUGAGGUAGGCGGAAUUCGUGGUGUAGCGGUGAAAUGCUUAGAUAUCACGAAGAACCCCGAUGGCGAAGGCAGCUUACUAAACUGUGACUGACAUUGAGGCUCGAAAGUGUGGGUAGCAAACAGGAUUAGAUACCCUUGUAGUC
rnacentral:rRNA from 1 species